GCGGGAUCAGUGCAUGUGCUAAAAGGUUGAGAUAUCCAUGCCUGGAUGUUGAAAAAGUCAAGCAAAAGGGCUCCUCCUGGUCUGUGUUCCAGUAAACAUGUAUAUUUAUAGCCGACUGAAUAAGCUUGCUUCAGCU
rnacentral:lncRNA from 1 species